CAUUUUUCUUUUAAAAUUGGAACAAUAAAAUUGGAACAAUACAGAGACGAUUAGCAUGGCCCUUGCGCAGGGAUGACACACAAAUUCUUGAAGCGUUCCAUAUUUUU
ensembl:snRNA U6 U6 spliceosomal RNA